UCCCCAGUGGCGCAAUUGGUUAGCGCGCGGGUACCGAGGAUGCCGAGGUUGUGAGUUCGAUCCUCACCUGGGGAA
rnacentral:tRNA from 1 species